rnacentral:lncRNA from 1 species
UGGACAGACUAUAAUCUUCUUUGGCAAUCUAUGACAAGGAUAUGGCAAGUCCUUUCAGGAAAUUCUUUCACAUCUGCAUACCCCAUGCUCUAUAUUAUGACAAGAUUCUUCAGGCCUCAGGGAAAAUGGCUUGGUAUGAGGCCACUAGGGAAGGAGGACCAUGGUGCCCUCUAAGCUCAGCAAAAAGCACAAGUCCUGGAACAUGCUAUUGAACUGUCCUAGAGUUGGAAGGAGGAAGAUAAAACAGAUUCCUGCUGUCUGCACCUUAGGUGGAGUUGCGGCCCACUGUUCCCCUCUGACUCAUUUCCUGUUUCUCGAUGCCUACUGUGCAGCGAUACUGGAAAUGUCAGCCACCCAGCUACCUGACUGGAGGGACUGUUGUUCCCAUUUUCCCUUAUACAAUGAAGAAUUAACUGUUCGGGUACUGUCACCUGCCUUCUUCAGCACACUUUCUAACACAGAAGGGGAAUUUUAAUAAGAUCUCCAAGGGGUCUGUUGCCAUUUUUAGAGCAAAGAUUCCCUAUAAAGGAAGUGCAUUGAAACUCCCAAGAGAAAGCUGUUGAAAACGCCCCCGAGAGGAACCAGUGUCAUCCCAUUUUAUUGUCUACCUGUCACCACAGCC